rfam:Salmo salar isolate Sally breed double haploid chromosome ssa21, whole genome shotgun sequence.
GAUGGCAUAAUUUGUAAGUCGUUCUGGAUAAGAGCGUCUGCUAAAUGACGUAAA